rnacentral:rRNA from 1 species
AACGAACGCUGGCGGCAUGCCUAACACAUGCAAGUCGAACGAGAUCUUCGGGUCUAGUGGCGCACGGGUGCGUAACGCGUGGGAAUCUGCCCUUUGGUUCGGAAUAACAGUUGGAAACGACUGCUAAUACCGGAUGAUGACGAAAGUCCAAAGAUUUAUCGCCAGAGGAUGAGCCCGCGUAGGAUUAGCUAGUUGGUGUGGUAAAGGCGCACCAAGGCGACGAUCCUUACCUGGUCUGAGAGGAUGAUCAGCCACACUGGGACUGAGACACGGCCAAGACUCCUACGGGAGGCAGCAGUGGGGAUUAUUGGACAAUGGGGGAAAGCCUGAUCGAGCAAUGCCGCGUAAGUAAUGAAGGCCUUAGGGUUGUAAAGCUCUUUUACCCGGGAUGAUAAUGACAGUACCGGGAGAAUAAGCUCCGGCUAACUCCGUGCCAGCAGCCGCCGUAA